rnacentral:rRNA from 1 species
CGGCAGGUGGGGCAGCUAUACAUGCAGUCGAACGAACUCUGGUAUUGAUUGGUGCUUGCAUCAUGAUUUACAUUUGAGUGAGUGGCGAACUGGUGAGUAACACGUGGGAAACCUGCCCAGAAGCGGGGGAUAACACCUGGAAACAGAUGCUAAUACCGCAUAACAACUUGGACCGCAUGGUCCGAGCUUGAAAGAUGGCUUCGGCUAUCACUUUUGGAUGGUCCCGCGGCGUAUUAGCUAGAUGGUGGGGUAACGGCUCACCAUGGCAAUGAUACGUAGCCGACCUGAGAGGGUAAUCGGCCACAUUGGGACUGAGACACGGCCCAAACUCCUACGGGAGGCAGCAGUAGGGAAUCUUCCACAAUGGACGAAAGUCUGAUGGAGCAACGCCGCGUGAGUGAAGAAGGGUUUCGGCUCGUAAAACUCUGUUGUUAAAGAAGAACAUAUCUGAGAGUAACUGUUCAGGUAUUGACGGUAUUUAACCAGAAAGCCACGGCUAACUACGUGCCAGCAGCCGCGGUAAUACGUAGGUGGCAAGCGUUGUCCGGAUUUAUUGGGCGUAAAGCGAGCGCAGGCGGUUUUUUAAGUCUGAUGUGAAAGCCUUCGGCUCAACCGAAGAAGUGCAUCGGAAACUGGGAAACUUGAGUGCAGAAGAGGACAGUGGAACUCCAUGUGUAGCGGUGAAAUGCGUAGAUAUAUGGAAGAACACCAGUGGCGAAGGCGGCUGUCUGGUCUGUAACUGACGCUGAGGCUCGAAAGUAUGGGUAGCAAACAGGAUUAGAUACCCUGGUAGUCCAUACCGUAAACGAUGAAUGCUAAGUGUUGGAGGGUUUCCGCCCUUCAGUGCUGCAGCUAACGCAUUAAGCAUUCCGCCUGGGGAGUACGGCCGCAAGGCUGAAACUCAAAGGAAUUGACGGGGGCCCGCACAAGCGGUGGAGCAUGUGGUUUAAUUCGAAGCUACGCGAAGAACCCUUACCAGUCUUGACAUACUAUGCAAAUC